rnacentral:snRNA from 1 species
GACACUGGUAGUUGGUACUCCUGGUUUCCAGGAUAGGGUUCAAGUCCCUACAGUGUC